UAAUUUUGACCAAUUUCGUCAGGGUCAUUAUUUUGGCCAUGAAAUGGGGUCCUUAAGCUAAAAUUAUUCUAAAAAGUUGAAAUUUUGAAAGUUGAUUUUUUUAAUUAUUUGAUAUACCCCCUAAGGGAUUUUACUAAAAUUGGCUAGAACUAUGAAAUAAUUUUGACCAAUUUCAUCGGGGUCAUUAUUUCACCAUGAAAUGGGAAUUGAUUUAUUUAUUGAGAAUUUUUGAAGUGUGAAUAACAAAAACUGUUAUUAUUUUCACAGAGCCAGGAAGUCGGAGCUGACGUUGAAGUUCGAGCUGGAGUGUGACCUCGGAGACUGCAUCGGAUUCAUCUAAUUUUCAGCAACUUUUACUUGGAGUCGGAAUCUGUGAAGUCGGGUAUUUUUGGAGAGCUAAAGUCGUCGUUGACGUCAUAUCCUGCAUCCAGUGUCGGAGUUGUCUUCAAAGUAUGGAUUCAAAGUCGCUUGGAGGUACCCGA